rnacentral:rRNA from 1 species
UACAGGGGGUGCAAACGUUGCUCGGAUUUAUUGGGCGUAAAGGGCUCGUAGGCGGUCUGUUGCGUCGGUAGUGAAAACUCAGGGCUUAACCCUGAGCCUGCUUCCGAUACGGGCAGACUAGAGGUAUGCAGGGGAGAACGGAAUUCCUGGUGUAGCGGUGAAAUGCGCAGAUAUCAGGAGGAACACCGGUGGCGAAGGCGGUUCUCUGGGCAUUACCUGACGCUGAGGAGCGAAAGUGUGGGGAGCGAACAGG